AUACGGAGGGUGCAAGCGUUAUUCGGAAUCACUGGGCGUAAAGGACGCGUAGGCGGGUUGGCAAGUCAGAUGUGAAAUCCUACAGCUUAACCGUAGAACUGCAUUUGAAACUGCUAACCUAGAGUAUGGGAGGGGGAGAUGGAAUUAGUGGUGUAGGGGUAAAAUCCGUAGAUAUCACUAGGAAUACCGAAAGCGAAGGCGAUCUCCUGGAACAUAACUGACGCUAAGGCGUGAAAGCGUGGGGAGCAAACAGGAUUAGAUACCCUAGUAGUCC
rnacentral:rRNA from 1 species